ACACUAGACGCACCAAAGUCCAAAGUCCAACGCAGCCUGAUAACGACGUUGUGAAUGUCUUCAUAAAUGCUAGAACUUAAUCGGAAAACUCAUCUCCCUCCAUUGAAAACCCUAUAAAAUCCUUAAAAUUUGGUUCAUAAAAUCAAAUAUUCACCGAAUUAUCUUCCAAACCCACCAAGAACAGAGAGAUAUAUAUAUAUACAGACCACAGCACCGACAGCUAAAUCUACUAUCGUAGUUGGGUCCCAAAAGCACUAAACUCAACAGAAUUGGCAACAAGAAGAAGAAGAAGAUGGAGAAGAAGAAGAAUGGCGGCAAUAGCAGCAGCAGCAACAACGGUGAUAGGGAGAACCACCGCACAACGCCGCUGUCAGCGGUGGUGUCGGACUGCGUGAAGCGGUGGUUCCAGGAGGACAAAGGCGGCGACUUCUCCAUUCAGCUCUUGCUUUCUCACAUGUAUUACAACGGUUACGGCCUGCCCAAAGAUCCCCAGAAGGGAAGAAUUUGGAUGACAAUUGCUUCAAAAGUAAGAUCUUCAGUUUGGAAAGUUAGCAAUAAACUCCCAGGUUACAAUGCUAGUGAUUCUCACUCAGAUGAGUCAAAAGAUGACUCCUGAUUAGACCAACUUGGUAUUUCUGUGUGAUACAAUUUGAAAGGUCCUCGGCUUUGUACCUAUUCGUUGCCACGAAUGUUCUAGUGUGUUGGCACCAAAAAUUAAUUUUCUAUCGAUUGUGGCCUGUUGAUUAUGGCCAAGUUUAUUUUUAGUUGAUUGUGGCCUAUCAAUUGUUGCUAAAUCUUUAAUUGUGGCCAAUUGAUUUUGGUCUGUCGAUUCGGAUCAUAAAUUAUAUUUUUUAAGUGACACUACAAGAAAAAUGGGUUUAAGCGGCGUUUUUUUAACGGCGUUUUUUUAAAUGCCACAUUUAUUAAUAUUUAACGACGUUUUAUAAAAACGUCGCAUAUUCCUUUAAUAAAAUGGUACCGUUUUGAAAUAGGAGGCGUUUUAAACGCCUCCAAAUACGUUGUGCCUCACGCGCCUAUUUUAAAUCUGAGAAUACUUGUUAAAGCUUUGUAAACCCCAAUUCUGAAUCCUCACGGCGUCACAAUCCUCACGCCUCUCUCUUGCUCAUCCCCAAUUGCUUCUAAACCCUUGAGAGCGAUUUGAAUUGAGAGCGAUUUCGUCAGAGCGAUUUCGAUUUGAAGCUUUGAAGCUCCACUGUCUCUCUCUCUCUCUCUCGAUUCAUCCUUUGUUCUCUGCUAUAUCGAUCUAAAGCUCUGGGAGAUUGCGAAGAGAGAAGAGGGGUUGGUUUCGAUCCCAGAGGAAGUGAUCUCAGGAGAGGUUGUGCUUGAUUUCUCAGAUCGGUUUGAGAGCGAUUUCGAUUUUGAAGUACUCUCUCUCGAUUUCGAAGCUUCACCACAAGGAUGAAGUUGAUAAUAUUUGCUCAGAAGUUAUUUCCAGGCCUCGCUGAAUUGCUCUCUUUGUUGAGCCCUCUCCAUUUGCUUAUGUGUCCGGGUAUAAAAAUCGGUUCUAGAAUUUUAUUAGAUAUCUACGGGAAAUGGGAGAUGAGAGGUUUUGAAGCUUGGGAACUCCACUCGGAUUAAUGAGCAGUGCUUGGAGCUUCAAAAGUAUAUCAAAGAUGAUGUUUCCAAAAUGAAGGUAGGUAUGAUGGUGGCUGCUUUCCUAAACCUUGUAUUCAUCUUGUGAAGCAUGUUUUUGGUCUAAUUUGGCCUGCAUUUGCUUUCCUUUCAUCGUUAAUACCUUAAUGAUUUCAUGGUUUUGGCAAUGCAAAUUAUUGUGUUAACUUGAUAGACAAUAUCACUCCAAAAUCACAAUUAAAAAGUACAAUGAUUUCAGAGGUUGCAACAAUUAGAACAAGAGAUCAAUCCUGUUGCUUGCUUAUUAACUUUCACAUAAUUCAUCAAUUUGGUUAAUACUACUAACCUCUGACUCAGAUAUAUUUUUCAUAUUGGUUGCUAAAUGCUAAGCAAUGCCUCUAUCUCUUUGGUGAUUUUUUUAUUCUGUUCAUUCAUAAUAGAUGAUCUAGUUGAUAGUAUAUUGUGUUUCUCUUUGGUAUCUGACUGGACCAAUAGGGAUAGUAAUAAUAGUAGUGUUGUAAUGUUUUCAUUCAUAUUGAGAAAUUCUCCUUUUAGGUUAAAUGCAAUAAACUUUCAAACUGAAUUGGUAGGGUAGAGUUGAAUGAUGAAAGAUCAAUUUUGUCUGUUGAAUUUCUAUAAGAAUUCAGAUAUUAAGAACAACCAUUUGCUUACAUUCAAGUCUCCAUCUCUGU